AGUAGACGUUCAGAGUUUGAUCCUGGCUCAGAUUGAACGCUGGCGGCAUGCCUUACACAUGCAAGUCGAACGGUAACAGGUCUUCGGAUGCUGACGAGUGGCGAACGGGUGAGUAAUACAUCGGAACGUGCCCGAUCGUGGGGGAUAACGAGGCGAAAGCUUUGCUAAUACCGCAUACGAUCUACGGAUGAAAGCAGGGGAUCAGUAAUGACCUUGCGCGGACGGAGCGGCCGAUGGCAGAUUAGGUAGCUGGUGGGAUAAAAGCUUACCAAGCCGACGAUCUGUAGCUGGUCUGAGAGGAUGAUCAGCCACACUGGGACUGAGACACGGCCCAG
rnacentral:rRNA from 1 species